rnacentral:tRNA from 1 species
GUGAUAGUGGUGUAAUGGAAGCAUGGAAGCCUGUGGAGCUUCAGGAUCGGGUUCAAUUCCCGGCUAUCGCC